rnacentral:rRNA from 1 species
UGAGGAAUAUUGGUCAAUGGGGGGAACCCUGAACCAGCCAUCCCGCGUGCAGGAAGACAGUUCUAUGGAUUGUAAACUGCUUUUCUUGGGGAAGAAUCAUGACGACGUGUCGUCAGAUGACGGUACCCGAGGAAUAAGCAUCGGCUAACUCCGUGCCAGCAGCCGCGGUAAUACGGAGGAUACAAGCGUUAUCCGGAUUUAUUAGGUUUAAAGGGUGUGUAGGCGGCUGUAUAAGUCAGUGGUGAAAGUCAGCAGCUUAACUGUAGAAUUGCCAUUGAUACUGUAUGUCUUGAGUGUGGUGGAGGUAGUCGGAAUGUGUAGUGUAGCGGUGAAAUGCAUAGAGAUUACACAGAACACCGAUUGCGAAGGCAGCAUACUAAGCCACAACUGACGCUGAUGCACGAAAGCGUGGGGAUCAAACA